GGUGUCUGUGCAGGUGGUCGGAGCGCACGAAGGUCUUGCAGCAACUGUCACACUGGUAGGGGCGCAGGCCGGUGUGCACGCGCAUGUGGUUCUUCAGGUCGUAGUUGUGCGCGAAGGCCGCCCCGCACUGCUGACACAGGGAACGGUGCGGAGCCAGCCAAGCUGGCCAACGGAUCAGCCCUAAAGCAACGACAGUCCGGGUGCUGCUCCGUCUCACACAGCAGCCACGGCUCUCACACGCGGCCCGAACCCUCGAGACGUGGCCUGUUCAAGCUGAGAUGGGCCACCAAGUCCAAAAGGCGCCCCAGAUCUUGAAGGCUUCGUUCGCGUAACGUGUCCUGCAAACUGGCUCGCUUAGAGCUCUGUACGCUGAUUACACGUUGAACGCAAGAAAAAUGGACGUCAAACACGACUCGAGUCACUUUCA